GGGGCUCUAUAUGAAAGAUCCUACUCCUGAAACGAGCUAAUAAAAUCUAUCAUCCCGUCUUCUCAUAUACGUCCUGAAAAUUGCAUCGAAAGUCUAGCAUACACAUACAUCUAUGUUUCAUCUCCUGUACAGUGAUUGCUAGGAACAGAUCCCAAAGUUGUUCAGCAAUCCAGCAGUGCAAUAGUAGCAUCUGUUACACAUUGCAAAACCUCUUCUUAAAUAUAAGCGUGUCAAAGUCCAAAAACCCAAAUCCAACUCCGAUCCAUGUAGUCAAAGCAAAAUGCUUAUUGAAUUUGUUUAGUUGGCUAAUCAGGCACCUGUAACUAGUUCUGUUCAAUUUUUUGAUUAUGUCUGCUCUUUAGUGAUAGGACAAGAGGGGUUGCUCUAAUGGUAAGCAACCCCCACUUCCAACCAAGAGGUUGUGAGUUCGA
rnacentral:lncRNA from 1 species